CGCCUAGGCCCCGAAGAGACGGACUACAUCAGAAUUCUGAGCUGGGCACCCUGGGCACCAGGAUGUCCUCAGGCUUCCCCAGGUGAUUUUGAUUUGCAGGCAGGUUUGAGAACCCGCCCUCCGACCUCUUCCUUCUGCGAAGUCCUGUAGUUUGACCUACGUUUACCCUGUGCCUUUCGCUUCUUGAUGGCUGGCUUGUGUGUGUUUGUCUUGUCCCCUGAGCAAAGCCAAGUUCUUGCGAGGAAGCACCACCUAGCUUCCCUCACGACCCCCGGCGAGUGCUGACCUCCUUUCCACACUGUCAAGACGAGUUCGCCAGGAGGCUGGUGCACACACAGCAGGUCAUUUAUCUCCAUCUCUCUUCGCCUCCCCACGGGCCCUUCCUGCUCAGCAGCGGCUGUCACUCGGAUCCCCUAGGAGCCGACCUCUGCCUUUCCACGUGUGGCUCUCGGUGGGGACUCCUCAAAGCAAAUCCAGAGGGCCUGCCCCGCCCUCCAGACAGCCUGUCCCUAACGGCAGGGUCGAGGUCCGCGUGCGCCGCGCGUGCGCAGCCAGCCUGCGCCCCGUCCAUCCACUCCCAGCCCCCUGCGGCGGCCCCUUGGCCUCACCACUGCCCUGCAUCCUCGGGAGGUGCUCGGGGGAAGAGAAACAUGCAGGCUAGGGCAGAAAAUAUUCUCCAAAAUGGCCACAGAAACAUCUCCCACGCCGUGGACUCUUCUACCGUGUAACCUAGCCCCGCGGCCAUCAACCUUGCCCCCAUCCCUCCCCGGACCUGGCCAGACUUUUGUUUCUGCCUCUACCAAUAACAUGACAGAAGGGCCUCUGGAAGCGGGUCCUGAAAGGUGAUUCGGCUUCCUCCUGGGUCUCCCUCCUGGGACACUUGUUUCUAGAACCACUGGCCACAAGGUGAGGGAGCACGGGCCCCAUGGAGAGGCCAUGCGCAGAUGUUCUGGCCGGCAGCCCCGGCGGAGGCCUCAGCCGACCGUAAGAUCGACCGCAGACGUGUGGGUGAAGAACCUCCAGAUGGCUGUGGCCCCAGCCACCGUCCGACUGGACGUCAGGAGCAACCCAGGGGAGAAUGAUUACACCCACCCCCCCAACCCCCGACAGGCCCAGGACCGUGGGAGGGAGUUCUCACAAUGAGAUGAUAGUGGUUUCACACUGUGCAGUUUAAGUGGUUUCCUUUCUAGCAACGGAAAACUGAUCCACUGGUCCUGAAAGAGGGCUCGAGGCUUUGGGGCAGGGAAUUCUGGGGUCCCCAGGGCCCGGAGGCUGGUGCAGAGGAGGGGAUGUGAGCUCUGGGUGGGCACGUGCCCUCGCCUCAGCAGAACCUCCUCAUCCCAGGAAGGAGGGCCGCGGGAGGUGGGCCAGAGCAAGGCCUUCUGCUGCGUGGGGGCCAGUGGGGCCCUGAAUGUCUGGCUCUAAGGGUGACGUUUCCCCCAUGUAUCCACCCCGAAAGUGGCUCCAGGGUGACGGUCCAGACAGAAGGCCUUUGAGCUGAAGUCUCCCUCUUGCUUUCUGCAUGAAGGAAGCAGAGCGCAGGGGUGAACAAGCUGGGCUUUGCAGAGAGAGCAGAGGUACCACCCGAAGCCGUGUUUGACUUGGCUCCCACUGUGUUGUUUUUAGAAAAAGAAUGUGUUGCCAACGUUUAAAAAUUGGAAGACUUCAAAUAAAGACCUGUAGAUGUAUAAAUAUGUAUUUUCCCCCUGAUUAUAGAAACAAACAUGCUAAGAUUUUCUCUUGAAAAUCAGACGAGCUGGCCCCACUAGGUCUGCAUUUCCCUGUGGCAACAACUAGCUAGAACUGAGCAUUAGGUAAGGGGGUCCCUCUCCAGUGUGCCCCAGGCCCCACCACUCCCUAUCGUCUUAAGCUUACCAGGCUUCACUCACUGCAUUAAAUGCCUGGUCCCCGUCAGCAUUUGAUUUUAGAAUUCCCAAGGCUCGUUGACUCAGCUGGCCAUCCAGGCCCAUCGCUUACUAGCUGUGUGACCUUGGGCAUGCCACUGACUUUGCCUCUGUUUUCUAGCCUUUAAAACUAUAAUGCACCUGCCUUGAAGCACUCGGAUGAGAACUAAGAUGAAAAUGCAUAGGGAAGACUUAUCCCAGCCUUUGGCAUAUACAUGACUUGGGCAAAUUUCCAGAGUCCUGGGCCAUCUAGAGAGGCGGUAGUUACAGGCAUGGGUGUCUUUGGGGUCAGUCAGGCCUGGGUUUGCAUCCUGGCUCUCCCACUUAUUAGCUGUGUGAUCUUGGGCAAGUUUCUUCACUUCUCUGUGCCUCAGUUUACUCAUCUAUAAAAUGGUGACAGCACCUGCCUUGUAGGAAGAGACUGUGCUGGCCCGGAGGUGAAUGUUGGUAUACGAAUUGGGCAAGGCUUUGUGCUCAGCACCUCCUAAAUCACUGAUCGGCCUGUGGACCACCAGCCCUGUGCCCACACUCAUUCACUCAAUGGCCACCUCCUAUGCCAUCAUGGCUGCCACACCACAUGCCUACAAUGGAACACUCUGCAACAGUUUAAAAAUGAAUGAGGCCUUCCUCUAAUGCCUGAUACAGAAAGAU
ensembl:lncRNA